rnacentral:rRNA from 1 species
CAGCCGCGGUAAUACGGAGGGUGCGAGCGUUAAUCGGAAUGACUGGGCGUAAAGGGCACGCAGGCGGUGACUUAAGUGAGAUGUGAAAGCCCCGAGCUUAACUUGGGAAUUGCAUUUCAUACUGGGUGGCUAGAGUAUUUUAGGGAGGGGUAGAAUUCCACGUGUAGCGGUGAAAUGCGUAGAGAUGUGGAGGAAUACCGAAGGCGAAGGCAGCCCCUUGGGAAAAUACUGACGCUCAUGUGCGAAAGCGUGGGGAGCAAACAGGAUUAGAUACCCUGGUAGUCCACGCUGUAAACGCUGUCGAUUUGGGGAUUGGGCUUAGAGCUUGGUGCCCGUAGCUAACGUGAUAAAUCGACCGCCUGGGGAGUACGGCCGCAAGGUUAAAACUCAAAUGAAUUGACGGGGGCCCGCACAAGCGGUGGAGCAUGUGGUUUAAUUCGAUGCAACGCGAAGAACCUUACCUACUCUUGACAUCCUAAGAAGAACUCAGAGAUGAGUUUGUGCCUUCGGGAACUUAGAGACAGGUGCUGCAUGGCUGUCGUCAGCUCGUGUUGUGAAAUGUUGGGUUAAGUCCCGCAACGAGCGCAACCCUUAUCCUUUGUUGCCAGCGAUUUGGUCGGGAACUC